GAUGAACGCUAGCGGCAGGCUUAAUACAUGCAAGUCGAGGGACAGCACAGGUAGCAAUACUGGGUGGUAACCGGCAAACGGGUGCGGAACACGUACACAACCUUCCUUUAAGUGGGGGAUAGCCCAGAGAAAUUUGGAUUAAUACCCCGUAAUAUAGUUGAAUGGCAUCAUUUGAUUAUUAUAGCUACGGCGCUUAAUGAUGGGUGUGCGGCUGAUUAGAUAGUUGGCGGGGUAACGGCCCACCAAGUCUACGAUCAGUAGCUGAUGUGAGAGCAUGAUCAGCCACACGGGCAAUGGGACACGGGCCCGACUCCUACGGGAGGCAGCGGUAAGGAAUAUUGGUCAAUGGACGCAAGUCUGAACCAGCCAUGCCGCGUGAAGGAUUAAGGUCCUCUGGAUUGUAAACUUCUUUUAUUUGGGACGAAAAAGGGCCUUUCUAGGUCAACUGACGGUACCAGAUGAAUAAGCACCGGCUAACUCCGUGCCAGCCGCCGCCGUAACAC
rnacentral:rRNA from 1 species